GAUGAAGAACGUAGCGAAAUGCGAUAAGUAAUGCGAAUUGCAGAAUUCCAGUGAGUCAUCGAAUCUUUGAACGCACAUUGCGCCCUUUGGUAUUCCGAAGGGCAUGCCUGUUCGAGCGUCAUUAUCACCCCUCAAGCCCUCGGCUUGGUGUUGGACGGUUUGGUGGAGGCCCCCUCGGGGGCUCCUGCCCCUCCCAAGGACAAUGACGGCGGCCUCGUUGGACCCCCGGUACACUGAGUUCUUCACGGGACACGUAUCGGACACAUGGGUUUACGGGACACGGUCUGCCUCCCCUCAGGGAGAAUCUUUCUAAGGUUGACCUCGGAUCAGGUAGGGAUACCCGCUGAACUUAAGCAUAUCAAUAAGCGGAGGA
rnacentral:misc_RNA from 1 species